rnacentral:lncRNA from 1 species
GAUCCAGUGUGGAAUUUGUGGGUAAGAGCUGUAGCGGUGAGGCUGUUGCUACUCAGUCCUGCACUUACCCACUUGGGCUUCUUGCUAAGAAGACUAGGACUCCGAAGAUUAUGCCUGAAGGUAUUCUUUUGAGGGGAGAUACUGCACUUUUUUAGAUGCUGUUGACUUCUAUUACUUAUUGAUGUGGGUUUUGUUUUUGUAGAUAUUUAGAUUGGAACCACAACUUGGAGGGUGAUAUACUCUCCAUAAGCUUCAAUUUUGGAAAACGUGGGCUUUCUGAAGAACAAAAAGCACUUGGUAAGAGGAUGCUUGCUCAUCUUUAUUGGACAAAAAGUGCUAGUGUAAAGUACAUUCAAGCUUUUUCAUUUACUGAAUUAGGUGAAAUUUGCAAGUUUCAAGAUUUGAAUUACAGCCGAGGUGCUUCUGUGAAGAGCCACGCAUUUCAAGGCAUUAUCCGCCAGGAAUUCUUCCAGAUAUUUAAUCCAGAAUCUGGAAGCUGUCACCUG